rnacentral:rRNA from 1 species
GAGUUUGAUCAUGGCUCAGAUUGAACGCUGGCGGCAUGCCUUACACAUGCAAGUCGAACGGCAGCACGGGAGCAAUCCUGGUGGCGAGUGGCGAACGGGUGAGUAAUAUAUCGGAACGUGCCCAGUCGUGGGGGAUAACGCAGCGAAAGCUGUGCUAAUACCGCAUACGAUCUCUGGAUGAAAGCGGGGGACUCGCAAGAGCCUCGCGCGAUUGGAGCGGCCGAUAUCAGAUUAGCUAGUUGGCGGGGUAAAGGCCCACCAAGGCGACGAUCUGUAGCUGGUCUGAGAGGACGACCAGCCACACUGGAACUGAGACACGGUCCAGACUCCUACGGGAGGCAGCAGUGGGGAAUUUUGGACAAUGGGCGCAAGCCUGAUCCAGCAAUGCCGCGUGCAGGAUGAAGGCCUUCGGGUUGUAAACUGCUUUUGUACGGAACGAAACGGCGAGCUCUAAUAAAGCUUGCUAAUGACGGUACCGUAAGAAUAAGCACCGGCUAACUACGUGCCAGCAGCCGCGGUAAUACGUAGGGUGCGAGCGUUAAUCGGAAUUACUGGGCGUAAAGCGUGCGCAGGCGGUUAUAUAAGACAGAUGUGAAAUCCCCGGGCUCAACCUGGGACCUGCAUUUGUGACUGUAUAGCUAGAGUACGGUAGAGGGGGAUGGAAUUCCGCGUGUAGCAGUGAAAUGCGUAGAUAUGC